UACGGAGGGUGCAAGCGUUAUCCGGAUUCACUGGGUUUAAAGGGUGCGUAGGCGGGCAGGUAAGUCAGUGGUGAAAUCUCCGGGCUUAACCCGGAAACUGCCGUUGAUACUAUUUGUCUUGAAUAUUGUGGAGGUAAGCGGAAUAUGUCAUGUAGCGGUGAAAUGCUUAGAUAUGACAUAGAACACCAAUUGCGAAGGCAGCUUACUACACAACGAUUGACGCUGAGGCACGAAAGCGUGGGGAUCAAACAGG
rnacentral:rRNA from 1 species